GAUGAACGCUAGCGGCAGGCCUAGUACAUGCAAGUCGAACGGGAUCUGAGGGUAGCUUGCUACCCGAUUUGAGAGUGGCGCACGGGUGCGUAACGCGUGAGCAACCUACCCAUAUCAGGGGGAUAGCCCGAAGAAAUUCGGAUUAACACCGCAUAAUAAUACGCUAACACAUGUUGAUGUAUUUAAAUAUUUAUAGGAUAUGGAUGGGCUCGCGUGACAUUAGCUAGUUGGUAAGGUAACGGCUUACCAAGGCGACGAUGUCUAGGGGCUCUGAGAGGAGGAUCCCCCACACUGGUACUGAGACACGGACCAGACUCCUACGGGAGGCAGCAGUAAGGAAUAUUGGUCAAUGGGCGCAAGCCUGAACCAGCCAUGCCGCGUGCAGGAUGACUGCCCUAUGGGUUGUAAACUGCUUUUGUUAGGGAAUAAACCUUCUUACGUGUAAGGAGCUGAAUGUACCUAAAGAAUAAGGAUCGGCUAACUCCGUGCCAGCAGCCGCGGUAA
rnacentral:rRNA from 1 species